rnacentral:rRNA from 1 species
GAAUCUCAACAACAGAUAUCUCGGCUCUUUUGAUGAUGAAGAACGUAAAGAAAUGUGAUACUUAGUGUGAAUUGCAGAAUCCCAUGAAUCAUCAAGUUUUUGAACAUAAUUUGUGCCCGAGGCCUUGGUCAAGGGAACAUCUGUCUGGGCAUCA